AUGUCUAUGUAUCAUCUGUCAUCAUGUAUCCAUCCAUUCUAUCUAUCCAUCCACCUAUCAUCCAUUUAUCAUCUGUCCAUCCACCAUUUAUGUAUCCAUCCAUCCACUGUAUCCAUCCAUCAUCUGUCCAUCCACUUAUCAUCCAUUUAUCAUCUGUCCAUCAUCCACCAUUUAUGUAUCCAUCCAUCCACUGUAUCCAUCCAUCAUCUGUCCAUCCACCUAGCAUCUAUCCAUUUAUCAUCUGUCCAUCAUCCACCAUUUAUGUAUCCAUCCAUCCACUGUAUCCAUCCAUCAUCUGUCCAUCCACCUAUCAUCCAUUUAUCAUCUGUCCAUCAUCCACCAUUUAUGUAUCCAUCCAUCCACUGUAUCCAUCCAUCAUCUGUCCAUCCACCUAGCAUCCAUUUAUCAUCUGUCCAUCAUCCACCUAUUAUGUAUCCAUCCAUCCACUGUAUCCCUCCAUCAAUCAUCUAUCCACCCACCUAUCAUCCAUCCAUUCAUCCAUAUCUACCAUCAAUCCAUCCAUCUACAUAUCAUCCAUCCAUUCUAUGUAUCUAUCAAUCCAAUCUCUCCAUCCAUCCAUCCAUAUCUCUCAUCUAUCCAUCCAUGCAUCCAUAUCUAUCAUCAAUCCAUCCAUCUACAUAUCAACUAUCAUCCAUCCACUCUACGUAUCUAUCCAUCCAAUCUCUCCAUCCAUCCAUCCAUCCAUCCAAUCUCUCAUCCAUCCAUCCAUCCAUCUACAUAUCAACUAUCAUCCAUCCAUUCUACGUAUCUGUCCAUCCAAUCUCUCAUCCAUCCAUCCAUCCAUCUCUCAUCUAUCCAUCCAUCCAUCCAUCCAUAUCAUCAAUCCAUCCAUCUACAUAUCAACUAUCAUCCAUCCAUUCUAUGCAUCGGUCCAUCAAAUGUUUCAUCCAUCCAUCCAUCCAUCCAUCCAUAUCUAUCAUCAAUCCAUCCAUGUAUCAACUAUCAUCCAUCCAUUCUACGUAUCUAUCCAUCCAAUCUCUCCAUCCAUCCAUCCAAUCUCUUAUCCAUCCAUCCAUAUCUCUCAUCUAUCCAUCCAUCCAUCCAUCCAUAUCUCUCAUCUAUUCAUCCAUCCAUCCACCCAUAUCUAUCAAUGCAUCCAUCUACAUAUCAACUAUCAUCCAUCCAUUCUAUGUAUCUAUCCAUCCAAUCUCCCAUCCAUCCGUGCAAUCUCUCAUCCAUCCAUAUCUCUCAUCCAUCCAUCCAUCCAUCCAUAUCUAUCAAUCCAUCCAUCUACAUAUCAAGUAUCAUCCAUCCAUUCUACGUAUCUAUCCAUCCAAUCUCUCCAUCCAUCCAUCCAUAUCUCUCUAUUCAUCCAUCCAUCCACCGAUAUCUAUCAAUCCAUCCAUCUACAUAUCAACUAUCAUCCAUCCAUUCUAUGUAUCUAUCCAUCCAAUCUCCCAUCCAUCCGUGCAAUCUCUCAUCCAUCCAUCCAUCCAUAUCUCUCAUCUAUCCAUCCAUCCAUCCAUCCAAUCUCUCAUGCAUCCAUCCAUCCAUCCAUAUCUCUCAUCUAUUCAUCCAUCCAUCCACCCAUAUCAAUGCAUCCAUCUACAUAUCAACUAUCAUCCAUCCAUUCUAUGUAUCUAUCCAUCCAAUCUCCCAUCCAUCCGUGCAAUCUCUCAUCCAUCCAUCCAUCCAUCCAUAUCUAUCCAUCCAUCCAUCUACAUAUCAAGUAUCAUCCAUCCAUUCUACAUAUCUAUCCAACCAAUCUCUCAAUCCAUCCAUCCAUCCAUCCAUCCAAUCUCUCCAUCCAUCCGUCCAAUCUCUCAUCCAUCCAUCCAUCCAUAUCUCUCAUCUAUCCAUCCAUCCAUCCAUCCAUAUCUAUCAAUCCAUCCAUCUACAUAUCAGGUAUCAUCCAUCCAUUCUACAUAUCUAUCCAUCCAAUCUCUCCAUCCAUCCAUCCAUGCAAUCUCUCCAUCCAUCUGUCCAAUCUCUCAUCCAUCCGUCCAUCCAUCCAUCCAUGUCUAUCAAUCCAUCCAUCUACAUAUCAACUAUCAUCCAUCCAUUCUACGUUUCUAUCCAUCCAAUCUCCCAUUCAUCCAUCCAUCCAUCCAAUCUCUCAUCCAUCCAUCCAUCCAUGUCUAUCAAUCCAUCCAUCUACAUAUCAACUAUCAUCCAUCCAUUCUACGUAUCUAUCCAUCCAAUCUCCCAUCCAUCCAUCCAUCCAUCCAAUCUCUCAUCUAUCCAUCCAUUCAUCCAUCCAUCCAUCCAUCCAUCCAUCCAAUCUCUCAUCCAUCCAUCCAUCCAUCCAUCCAUCCAAUCUCUCAUCCAUCCAUCCAUCCAUCCAUCCAAUCUCUCAUCCAUCCAUCCAUCCAUCCAUCCAAUCUCUCAUCCAUCCAACCAAUCUCUCAUCCAUCCAUCCAUCCAAUCUCUCAUCUAUCCAUCCAUCCAAUCUCUCAUCCAUCCAUCCAUCCACCCAUAUCUCUCAUCUAUCCAUUCGUCUACCAUCCAUCUAUCCAAUUGUAUCUAUGUAUCAAUCUAUCAUCUAUCUACCUGUCAUCUAUCAUGCAUCUGUCCCUUCUAUGUAUCUAUCCGUCCAUCCUACCUAUCCAUUGCAUCUAUCGGUCUAUUAUCGACCCCUCCGCGUGUCUGCGUAUCAUCUAUCAUUGA
rnacentral:lncRNA from 13 species